CAGUACAUUAAAUUUACUCAUAAAAACAUUCUAAAAAUGUACAAUUUUUCCUUUUUAACAAAGUAUAAUAAAACAUAAAAACCCCAAAAACAGAAUACUUGACAUUUACAAUUCAAAAUCAAAUUAGCAGUUUGUGCAUCUAAGAACUUUACGCAUGAGGGGCUCCUCACAGCACCGGGAUGGACUGGCCGGCGCGCCCCUCCCUCCAGUAACAGUGUAGUAACAUUGACCUUUGGCCUCAACCAGCACAGUACGUAGUUUGCAAGUGUUGAUUAAAGAUACUCACUUUGAUUCAGAACCUCAGGACUUUUAAUUGAGCCUCUUCAGAACCCAUGGAUGUAAAUGUCACCUGCCUCAUUCUUUGGGAGUCAUCUGCA
rnacentral:lncRNA from 1 species